rnacentral:rRNA from 1 species
CCUACAGAACGAACGCUGGCGGCAUGCCUAACACAUGCAAGUCGAACGAGACCUUCGGGUCUAGUGGCGCACGGGUGCGUAACGCGUGGGAACCUGCCUUAGGUUCGGAAUAACUCAGAGAAAUUUGAGCUAAUACCGGAUAAUGUCUUCGGACCAAAGAUUUAUCGCCUUUAGAUGGGCCCGCGUUGGAUUAGCUAGUUGGUGGGGUAAAGGCCUACCAAGGCGACGAUCCAUAGCUGGUCUGAGAGGAUGAUCAGCCACACUGGGACUGAGACACGGCCCAGACUCCUACGGGAGGCAGCAGUGGGGAAUAUUGGACAAUGGGCGAAAGCCUGAUCCAGCAAUGCCGCGUGAGUGAUGAAGGCCUUAGGGUUGUAAAGCUCUUUUACCCGAGAUGAUAAUGACAGUAUCGGGAGAAUAAGCUCCGGCUAACUCCGUG